rnacentral:rRNA from 1 species
GAACUGAAGAGUUUGAUCAUGGCUCAGAUUGAACGCUGGCGGCAGGCCUAACACAUGCAAGUCGAGCGGAUGAAGGGAGCUUGCUCCUGGAUUCAGCGGCGGACGGGUGAGUAAUGCCUAGGAAUCUGCCUGGUAGUGGGGGAUAACGUCCGGAAACGGGCGCUAAUACCGCAUACGUCCUGAGGGAGAAAGUGGGGGAUCUUCGGACCUCACGCUAUCAGAUGAGCCUAGGUCGGAUUAGCUAGUUGGUGGGGUAAAGGCCUACCAAGGCGACGAUCCGUAACUGGUCUGAGAGGAUGAUCAGUCACACUGGAACUGAGACACGGUCCAGACUCCUACGGGAGGCAGCAGUGGGGAAUAUUGGACAAUGGGCGAAAGCCUGAUCCAGCCAUGCCGCGUGUGUGAAGAAGGUCUUCGGAUUGUAAAGCAC